rnacentral:rRNA from 1 species
CCUACGGGGGGCAGCAGUAGGGAAUCUUCCACAAUGGGCGCAAGCCUGAUGGAGCAACACCGCGUGAGUGAAGAAGGGUUUCGGCUCGUAAAGCUCUGUUGUUGGAGAAGAACGUUCGUGAGAGUAACUGUUCACGCAGUGACGGUAUCCAACCAGAAAGUCCCGGCUAACUACGUGCCAGCAGCCGCGGUAAUACGUAGGUGGCAAGCGUUAUCCGGAUUUAUUGGGCGUAAAGCGAGCGCAGGCGGUUGCUUAGGUCUGAUGUGAAAGCCUUCGGCUUAACCGAAGAAGUGCAUCGGAAACCGGGCAACUUGAGUGCAGAAGAGGACAGUGGAACUCCAUGUGUAGCGGUGGAAUGCGUAGAUAUAUGGAAGAACACCAGUGGCGAAGGCGGCUGUCUGGUCUGCAACUGACGCUGAGGCUCGAAAGCAUGGGUAGCGAACAGGAUUAGAUACCCGGGUAGUC